rnacentral:rRNA from 1 species
ACACACGUGCUACAAUGGCCGGUACAGAGAGCAGCCACUACGCGAGUAGGCGCGAAUCUUCAAAGCCGGUCUCAGUUCGGAUCGCAGUCUGCAACUCGACUGCGUGAAGCUGGAAUCGCUAGUAAUCGCAUAUCAGCCAUGAUGCGGUGAAUACGUUCCCGGGCCUUGUACACACCGCCCGUCAAACCAUGGGAACUGGGGGUGCCUGAAGUCUGUGACCGCAAGG